CCGUUCCUGGCUGCUGCAUUCACCUCCAGCGUUUGUGAUGCCCCAGAGCACAGAACUCCAGGGAGCCCACGAUGCAGGAGAGUUCAGCGACAUUCACUGAGUACAAGAGAGCGCAGACAGAAGGCCGUGGCAUUCUGAGAAACACACAUGAUGAAGGAGCCCUGUCAUAUCCUCUCUUCCUUGCAUCGCUUCCCCGUGUGAGCAACCACUUGUGCUGGAAAUGAUGACAAGGAAGGACCGGGAAAGACAGGGCCACCCGCAGUUCCUUUUCCUUGACGUCUUUCCUUCCUCAUCAGCGAGCUGAGGUGGAGAGCGUUGGUAGAAUGUGUGCAUAAUAAGAAGUGAAAUAAAAACAGUCGAGUGGACUGUUGGGAGGCACCAAUGGACUUUGCAACUGGAGAUCUCCCAACUGGACCAUGUCACUGUUAUGUUUAAUUUGCACUGUGCACAGUAGGUACCCAGUCAACGUUUGUCGAAUUCCAUGGACUGGGCCUUAUACCUCCGAGGAUUUUUCACAGCAGUAGCAUGUGCACAUGCACAGAACGAGAACACAACCAAUGCUUGUUUGCUGGUGAAGACCUGGUCUCAGUAUUUUGCCCAGGAAACCCUUUCUUCAUGGACAGCAUGAGGCAAGCUAUGGCCCUUGCUGUGGUCUCAGUGGUUCAGCACGGAAGAUGAAGAUGACGGGCAGUCUCAGAAUAUUAGCUUUAGAAGGGACUUUGGAUCCUUUUGAUUUUGGUAGGUGAAAUACUUUUUAAAAAUAAAGAAAACGGACUUUGG
rnacentral:lncRNA from 1 species